ensembl:lncRNA
GUGCGCGUGAAGGGGGCGCGCCGGGUGCUGAGUGCGCGGGGCGUACCGGGCGCGGGAUGCUCGGAGCGCGUGGGGUGCAUGGCGGGUAUGGUGCACAGGGUGCUCAGGGUACAGUGAGUAUGAUGUGUGUGGUACGUGGUGGGCAUUGUGCACAGGGGGCUCAGUGCAUGGUGUGUAUAACGUGCAUGGUGCACAGGGUACUCUGUGUGCUCAGUGUACAUGGCGCAUAGAAUGCACUGUGCAUAGCGUGCAUGGUGCACAGGACACUAGGAAUGCAUGGUGUGCACAGUGCGUGGAGUGCAGCAUGCAUUUGGUGCAUGGGAUGCUCAGGGUGCGCAGGGUGUACCGUGCAUGGUGUUUAUGGUGCACAGGGUGCUCAGAAUGCAUGGUGUGCACGGUGCACAGGUUGCUUAGCGCAUUGUGUGCGUGGUGCAUGGAUUGCUAAGUGCGUGGUGUGCAUGGUGCACAGGGUGCUCAAAAUGCUCCGUGUGCAUAGAGUGUACUCUGGGUGCUCAGAGUACAUUGUAUGGUGCACGGGGUGCUCAGUGCAUGGUGAGCAUGUUGCAGAGGGUGCUCUGAGUGCUUGGUGUGCAUGGGGUGCACUGUGUGCAUGAUGGGCAGAGUGCUGAGUGCAUGGUCUGUGUGGUACACAGAGUGCCCGGAGAAUGUCAUGCAUAUGGUGGAAGGGGUGCCACAGGGAACAUGAUACAUGUACUGCACAGGGUGCACACAGUGCGUGCUGUGCAUUGUGCAUUGGGGGUACAGAGGAAGUUGUAUGUGUGGUGCUCAAGGUGCACAGUGCAUGCUGUGCAUGGUGCAUGAGAUGAUCAUAGGACAUGAUGUAUAUGGUGCAUCCGGUGCUUAGAGCACAUGGUAUGUAUAGUGCAUGAGGUGCUGAGAGGAAAUCAUGUGUAUGUUCACGUGUAUACCAGUGCAUGUGUAUGUGAUCCUCGAGGUGCUUAUUGCAGGAUGCACAGCGCACGGUCUCAGCACUGCAGGGAUGGUGCACAGUGCACAGUCUUGGCAUUAUGUGCAUGGUGCACAGUGAACUGUACAUAUCCUUCACGUUGUAUCAUGCACCACAUUGCAGGCACAACCAGCAUGCACCACUUUCACCCUAGAAAUAAUCGCCAGCAAUACAGGAGAGAGGCUUGGUGCUGGAAGCCCAGAGCAUGCAGGAAAGCACAUUUGGACGUGAUGAUCCUUAUGGGUCCCCUCCAACUCAAGGAACACAACUUCCUGCAUGUUCCCAUUGUUUGGGAACUGUAUGGGCAAAAGCACUGACUUUCUCCAAAAUAGUUGGUGUAGGUACCACACAUAUAAUACAUGUAACAUACGGUAGGGUGCACGUCUCAGUGCCUCAGUGUGCAAUACAGUGUGUGCAUACAUUUUCGACAUGCAUAUAGUUUGCUUCAAACACUGCCAGCUGUGAAAAGGACGCACAUGCACAGCAUGCACCCUUCUGUGCACCAAAAUGGCAUUUUCAAACAACUUUGAAUCAGAAAUAUUAAUAUUCCUACGCAUAUGUAUUCAGCAAACACUUCCUGAAGGUGCAUAAAAGGGAACAGAGUCAGUUCCUUCUCCUUUGAAAUGUGUGAUACCUUUCUCCCUGAGUAUUAACAGACCAUUUUAAACUCUAUCAUAUCAAGACCAGAGUCUGCAGUGUGGAGUCUUCAUCCUGCAGAUAUCCAAUACAAUCUACUGGUGGAUGGCAAGCUGGACAUAAGCCAGCAAUGUACUCUCACAGCCCAUAAAGACAACCGUAUCCUGGACUGUGUCAAAAGAAACGUGGCCAGCAGGACGAGGGAGGUGAUCCUGCCCUCUACUCUGCACUUGUGAUGCCUCACGUGGAGUACUGUGUCCAGAUGUGGAGUCCUCAGUACAGGAGAGACAUGGACCUGUUGGAGCACAUCCAGAGGAGGGCCACAAAAAUGAUCCAAGGGAUGGAACACCUCUCCUAUGAAGGCAGGCUGAGAGAGCUGGGGCUGUUCAACCCAGAUGUGGUUGGUCCCCCAUCCCUGGAGACAGUCGAGGUCAGGCUGGCCGUGACUGAGCAACCUCCUCUAGCUGUAGGUGCCCCUGUUCAUUGCAGAGGAGCUGGACUAGAUGACUUUUAAAGGUCCCUUCCAACCCAAACAAUUCUGUGAUUCUAUUCUAUGAAUAAGGAAGUCAUUUUAAAAAGAGUAACUACCUCUGAAGUGGUUGACCACAGCAUUGCACAGCGUGUGCUACUUGCUUUCCAAUAGUUUGCUUUUUCCUCCAGCAUCCAAACCACGAGCCUGACUGUGGCCUCUGCAGUGUUGUGCUGCAUGGUUAAAACAUGAAGACAUGAGCCUUCAUAACUGUAAUGCUGCAAAACCACAGUGCCUGUGUUGAUGACACCACCACCCCUAAAAUCUCCGCUGAGUCAAAUCUAAAAAAAUAAAUGAUUUGCAAACUCCUGCAAAGGCCAUCUAAAAAUAUACCACCAGGAGUGAGUAAGUGUGAACCCUUUGUGUCCCCUGGAAUGGAUUCAUCCCUCUACCCCUCUCAUACUCCUCCAGCUCAGCUCAGGACUUCCCUUUUCCCAGCAACUGGGAAGUGUCAUCAGUACCCAUGUGCCAUGGAUCAGCACAGAUAAAUACAGCCUUCGGCUGAAACAUUUGUGUCAAAGCCACCUUUUUGGCAACUUUAUCUGUGAAAACUUCAAAGUGUCAAGAUAAGCAUGUAUGAGGGCUGCUCCACAAGUAAUGCAUCUUAUGAUGUUGUUGGCCCAUGAUGUCAGAGGAGGGUGUUGGUGGGAUGGCAGUGGAGGAUGAACCUUCCUGCCUAUAUCCCAUCAUAUUUUGUUGCCGUGUGGCAGAUGGCAGCAGAGGGGCAGUCUGACAAAAUGGUGUCUAACAUAGAAGUGCAUUUGAAGCAAAGGUGUGGAACUGCAAAUUCCUCUAUGCAGAAAAACUUGUACCCACCAACAUUCAUUGGUGCUUGCUUAACGUUUAUGGAGACCAAAUGGUGGAUGUAAGCACAGCGAGGUGGUGGGUGGUGUGCUUCAGUAAUGGCAACAGCGACACUGGUGCAGAUUGUUACAAGCAUGACAUGCAGGCUCUUGUUUAUCGCUGACGAAAAUUGAUAGCUAAUGAUUGAUAGCUAUUUUUCACUCUCUCGAAAAAUAGUGCUUUGUAGCUGAGGAUUUUCUCCAUCAAAUCAUGUCAUUGUUCUCUUUGUAGCUUUUGUAGUUUCUGUGGAAAUAAACAGGAGGCAUUACUUUUGGUGCAACCUGCUGAACAGGACCUGAUGAAAAGGAGAUGGCAUGAGGAAGGAGAUGGGUAAUUAGUCCUAGGGAAGGAGCUGGCUCUUGUCAAACAUCAGAUAGCUGGGGCUCGUCACUACAAACUUAACCUCCCAGAAAGGGCAAAGAAAAAGGAGCCUCUCUCCUUCCUCUUUGUGCACGAGGGACUGCAGCACCUGAUUUCCAUGAGAAGAGGCCACUUCUGGCAUGGACAUUCCCAGCAACCGGAGUCCCCUCAAUGCUGUCCUGAUAGAGGAGGGGAGGAAAGAACUCGCCAUUCCAAAAGGCCCAGAGCUGCCAGAAAGGUCCAAGGAAGGCUGAUUGUGCACCAAGGGAACGAAGGGAAAGAGGAUCCCUGCUCCUUGCUGGGAUAAAACCAAACACCAUCCAAAAUUGGUGGGGGAAGGACUGUGGAGAGUUUUGAUGCAUUGACACAGACAUCAAGUUGCUGAUGAGGACACUGCAGUAUGGGGCUGAUUUUGGAUGCUUGAGUGACAUAACAUCCAUAAGUACCGCUGGUCUCAAAUCAGUCUCAUGUGGGGUUUUUAUGAGCACUUUUCAUUCAUAGAUCUCAGAGGGCUUCACAGAGGAGAGAGCUAUAAACAAGACAGAGGGGAGUGAGGGAUAGGCUGGGGCUUUUAAAAGGCAAUGUGUUGUUUCUUUAAGGGGUUCUGUAGAUAAGAGCUCUGUAUGAAGUCUCAUUUUACCAAAAAUAAAAUAUUUUGCAAUGGC